CAGCCGUAAACUAUGCGCGUUAGGUGUAUCGGUGACCACGAGUCACUGAGGUGCCGAAGGGAAACCGUGAAACGUGCCGCCUGGGAAGUACGGUCGCAAGACUGAAACUUAAGGAAUUGGCCGGGGGGAGCACCACAACGGGUGGAGCCUGCGGUUUAAUUGGACUCAACGCCGGGAAGCUCACCGGAUAAGACAGCGGAAUGAUUGCCGGGCUGAAGACUCUGCAUGACUAGCUGAGAGGAGGUGCAUGGCGUAGACGUCU
rnacentral:rRNA from 1 species